rnacentral:rRNA from 1 species
UACGGGGGGGGCAAGCGUUGUUCGGAAUUACUGGGCGUAAAGGGCGCGUAGGCGGUUCGCUAAGUUGGAUGUGAAAACUCUGGGCUCAACCCAGAGCCUGCAUCCAAAACUGGCGGGCUAGAGUUCUGGAGGGGAUAGCGGAAUUCCUGGUGUAGCGGUGAAAUGCGCAGAUAUCUGGGGGAAGGCCGGCGGCGAAGGCGCCAUUCUGGGAAAUUCCUGACACUGAGGCACGAAAGCGUGGGGAGCAAACAGG